GCUCAGCAGACGAACGUUUUCGUCUGCACGCAUUCGGGGGCGGGACUUCCAUAGGCUUCAUGUGGGGUCCGGUUUCCGUGUUUUUUCACCUUUUUCAGGGCAGUGAGUCCUGAGUCGGGACCGAAGAGAAUGGAACAGGCGAGGAGAGGCGUUGGCCCCGGUGCCCAGAGGCGGCUGUGAGGCGCCCCCGAGCCCGUAGUUGACUGCAGUGCCCUCGUUCCCGCCCCGCCCGCCGCCUCUUCCGGCUCCGUUCUUCCCACCGACCGGUGACCCCGGUGACCGAGGCUGCGCCGAUGAGGCCCGCUCAGGAAGCAACCACAAGGAGCAGGUUUCAGAAGAUAAUGAGUUAAAUUGUGAAUGUGUGACCCUAAGAUACCUCAAGGUGGAGACGGCACAUAGGUUCCCAUGGCAUUUGCAGAAAUGCUUAUGGACCUGUACAGGUGAAUGGAGGAUGUGCCAGACCUUCAUCCACCCCAGUUAUCACCCUGAUGGUUCUGCCACUCCCAUAUAAAGAAUGCUGGUGGCCUGAGAUUGUUCACCCAUCCUCCCUUCCUUGGGUCUGAAGUCCCUGUGGUUUCACCAAGGCCUAGGGUCUUGAACUCAGUCCCAGAUUAUAUGGAGCUGUUCCCAUUUCCAACAACUGAUGGAGUAAGAUGUGGAAGGAUGUCGUGGGCACAGGAUCCAGAAUGUCCAGAUGACUGGAGACGUGGCCAUACAUUUCUCUCAGGAGGAGUGGGGGCUCCUUGAUGAGGCUCAGAGACACCUGUAACACCAUGUGAUGCUGGAGAACUUUGCACUUCUCUCAUGGCUAGGAAGUGGCUCCAGGAAGUCCAGAGGUGGAGUCUGCGCGGGGAGAACCGAGGGCCUACGGAUCCACAGGGCCUGGUGCAGGUUCUUCUCCGUCAGCCGGGCGGCUUCCACGGCGUCCUGAGCUUUACCCACUGCUCUUGGAACGGCUUCAGCACGUCCUGGAAGAGGGCGCGGCCAUGGCGCUGCUUUUGGCUUUUCCACUGAGCUCGGGCCCUCCGGCUUCUCCUCGGCCAUUUCGCGAAACGAUGUCUCACACCCUCGAGAGCUGAUGCGUCGGGUCAAAAGAGAAGCGCAGAGACAGUUGCAGUUCAGCACAUAGAAAAUUAGAAACGCCCGUCUACUCAGGAGUAAAGACUUCAAGAAACACCAGGAAGAGGAAAGACUUAGGACUCACCUGGGAUGACAACACAGCUACAUGAUCAUCCUCACCCCUCUGGGUCUGGAGCCACCUCUUUGGAAAGAAAACAUCAAGGAAGAUCCCAGUUGCUGCGGUAGGCGUCGGGUCCUACGUUUCCGGUCAUAAAGACACGGAUGGGAAGUUCUAGGAUUGCUUCGAAUAAAGGUGAAGAGCUCCUGCAGAGUGUCACUCGAAUUCCCAGGCACAUUUAGGAUAAAACUAACAAAUGGGGCAGUCAAGUCCUCUCACCUGAAGGCAAUUACUAAUAAAAAGACAUUUAAUCAAAGAAAACAAUACACCUGGCAGAUGAACACAGGAAUGUUCAACAUCGUGAAUCACUAGGGAAAUGCAUCAGACCACAGUGAGUCCCACAGAGAGCCCUGCACUCUACCCCAGAAGGCCUUGGACAACGAUGCAAAAUGGGCCAGAACUGGAGUGAAAACUAUUCUCUGCCAUGAUACUACCCCCAGUGAGGUAUACUAAGUUUGGAACACCCACAAAACCUGUUCCUGUGUCCUGUCCUAGCCAGUUGAUGGAAGAGAAUGACAAAACCCACGUGCUCAGGGAAUCCAUGCUCUUCUACAGGGGAUACGACAGCACAAAAGGCUACCUACCCUGAUCACACUUAGAUGACUGAGUCCCAGUAUGGGGAUCUGCCACUUGGAAAAGGUAAGAAACUCACAGUGACAGUAAGAAAGUAGAGCAUAGCUCCUGAAAAGCUUCCUACAAACCUCGACAGGUAAUCUGCACACUAGGGUUGUUCAGUUGUAUGGCAUUCAACUUCUGUUGAUGAGUCCCUCACAAAGCCUAUUCAGUAUGAUGUAUUAACUAAGGAGACAGUUCAUUUGCUACUCUCCUCAUUUCAUCUCAAGGUCUUUCUCCAGUAUGAACUCUGGUGAUAGAUGAGGUUAUAGACCUUUGGCUGAAAGCUUUCUUACAUUUGCUGCACUCAUGGUCUUUUUCUGUGGCAUGACCUGUUUGGUGUUCAGUAAGCUGGGUGUUUUGGCUGAAGAAUUCUCCAUAUUUAGUGCAUGCAUGUGUUUUUUUCCUCCAGUGUGACUGUCUUCUUAAGGCCUCUCUCCUGUGUGGACUCUCUCAUGCUCUGCAAGCCUAUACAUCCAGGAGUAGGCUUUCCCACACUCAUGGCACUUAUAGAGACUUUGACCAUUGUGAAACACUGCUGUGCAGUCAGCAUCCUUUUGUGGAGUGACCUGGUGCUGGAGAAGGCUAGAGCUACCAGGGAAAUCCUUCCCAGCCUCCUGGCAUGUGAAGGAGUUCUUGGAUGCAUGGACUAUGUGGCUCCUCAUAAAGGCCUUACAACCCUGUCUCUUCUAAAGAGAUUCCCUCCACAAUGCUGGUGAAAUUUCACACCUGACACACACAGUUUCUGGCCAGGAAUUGUUCCCAGGUCUUCACCUAGAGGCAAACUUACUGUUUAAGGCCAGGCUACACAUCUUGCAGGGACAGGACUUUGGAUGGACAGGUCUCUGAAGUAUUUAUUCAUGGCACUUCUACAGAAACAUUCUGCUCAGAAGUUAUCUCCUUGUGCUCUGCUCCAUACCAACAAACUGAAAGCAGAGAAAUGACACAAUGUUGGGGGGAGUGCACACAGAAAUGAGGUACACAGUCACUGGCUUUGGCACCAAAACACUGUGGGGCACAGGACAUGAUCCUGAUAUAAUUUGAACCCCUGAUGCCAAAUCAAUGGAGCCAAGCCCACUUUGAACCCCUCAUGCUGGGGCUUGGAGUCAUGUCCACUCUGUCAUGUCCCAGGGUUCACCUCCCAGCUCCAGCUGGACAACAAUAUGGAACCUAGAAAAUGUAAGUCCUAAGGGAAAGACAGGACAGGUGAACAGUCAGUACUAGCCCAGGAGAACAACCAAUCCCCCAAAAAACCUGAGGAAAAAAUAACAGUGUCACAAAAUGAACCACUGACCCUGCUGGAUCCCAACAAUUCCUGGUACAGUCAGGGCCCAGGAAAUAUCAGCUGGAAGGGGGCAGAACCUAGAGCACAGAGGUGUGUGGGUCUACAGAGUCAACUUAGCAGGGAGUGGCUGAGACUAAUGGAACCCACUGAACUAAUGCCAAGUCUUAUGACCCAGAAAAACUUCACUGAAAAAACUUCAGAGCUGCUGGUACUGGGGAUACUUCUGAAAGGAGGUCGUACUCAUUCAGCCUUGGCACCAACAACACAGAUGAGAGGGAAGCAGUAAUAGAGACGUGCCCACUGUCUAGGAGUCUGUGAAAAAACAGACUUGCCUUUGGAAAAGGGAAAGGCAGAGACCUGCCUAGGAUGCUGGGAUAGGUGGGAGGGCGUUACCCAAUGAUGCAACAAGUGCAAAGGGCUCCAGGAUCACAUCACAGUA